GACGAACGCUGGCGGCGUGCUUAACACAUGCAAGUCGAACGGUGACCUGAGGUGCUUGCGCCUUGGUGAUCAGCGGCGGACGGGUGAGUAACGCGUGGGCAACCUGCCUGUAAGACUGGGAUAACUUCGGGAAACCGGAGCUAAUACCGGAUAAUCCUUUUCCUCUCAUGAGGAAAAGCUGAAAGACGGUUUCGGCUGUCACUUACAGAUGGGCCCGCGGCGCAUUAGCUAGUUGGUGAGGUAACGGCUCACCAAGGCGACGAUGCGUAGCCGACCUGAGAGGGUGAUCGGCCACACUGGGACUGAGACACGGCCCAGACUCCUACGGGAGGCAGCAGUAGGGAAUCUUCCGCAAUGGACGAAAGUCUGACGGAGCAACGCCGCGUGAGCGAUGAAGGCCUUCGGGUCGUAAAGCUCUGUUGUCAGGGAAGAACAAGUAUCGGAGUAACUGCCGGUACCUUGACGGUACCUGACCAGAAAGCCACGGCUAACUACGUGCCAGCCGCCGCCGUAACAC
rnacentral:rRNA from 1 species